CUACGCUAUGGGAUCGAAUCAAUCAAUUUUCAAUUCGAAUCGAAUCGAAUAAUGAUCUCUCGUUUCGUAAUUCGUAUAAUUUGAAUGUUUUCCAUUGUUUUAUUCCUCGACCACUACUUUCUACAAUGGACUCGCUAUUUUGAGUUUGACUGCCGGCUUAUUGAUUGGAUAUAUGAACACCAUGGAUCGCUGUUUGAAUAAGUCGACGAGCCUUAGAUGACAAAACGAUACUAUCAGUAAUUCGUUAAUGACUUGGCUUGCGCCACAAUUUGUGAACAGCACUGACCAUGUUUGCCAAGCUUGCUAGUACUUGGCGCAGAGACCACCUGUUGAAGCGCCAAGGCAAUAUUGAUGUCCACCGUAGUGUUUGUCUCUGCUGUGAGUGUUCUCUGCAUCACAAGUCAGCCAUCUUCUUCACAUGAACUCAAAUUGUGAAUUUAUAAUGUUAUAAAAUAAUGGAUUAUGCCUCAAACUGUAGAAGUGGCACGUUGCUUGGGUGGCUACAGACCAAGCUGCUGUCCAUAUGGUCUGGGACUCAUCAAUUUCUUCACAAGGAAGCUAUCCUGAAGAAAUACAGUCAUAGACACAAGAUCUUCCCACUGAGUCUCCAAAUGAAAAAGUUAGAAACUAACAACCUGAACCUUCUAUUGUAUUACUAGACUACAUGAGAGCUAUAGACACGGAAGUAGGUGCUUUAUUGAAAGAUACCAGACAACAGUGAGGUACAGAGUGAAAUAUUAUAUCGCUGAGAAUAGUUGUCUUUGUGAUUGACAUUUGAUUAUUGAAGCA